CUUCUGGCUAACACAAGGAUUCAGAAUUAGGUAAACAUCUGAAGGUUUAGUAUAUUAGAAACACCCAAACCAGUAAUAUGCUAACCUGAUGCACUGCUGAAAGAAAAUGUGAAUUUUUCGUAAUAAUUGCAUUUUAGUGAAUUGUACAGUGGGUGGAAAGGGCAUUUGGAGCUCAUUAGAAUGAGACAUAGUACACCCCAAUGGCCCUGUUUAUUAAAUGUAGUGGAUUAAGUGUCUGUCAACAAAUACACCAAAACCAUUUUUUAUAGAAACAGUAUUUAAUGGUCACUCAAUAGCUUUCAAAAUACAUUUUUGUAUUACAGCACUGCACAAGCUAUUCUAAUAGUGAUCUGGCCUCCUCAUUCCUGCCAAGCUUGCUUUGGGGAGUUGGAUAAUGUGAAAAUUUUAAGUACCUAGGGGAGAAAGAGCCAUGUAAAUAUCUGUAAUAAACUUGUAGCAUAUGUAAAGUUUUCUUGGCCUUUAUCUUACAAAAAUGGAAUAUUUUAGUAUGAAUUUGCUGAAUGUAAGACCGUGGACUGUUUUUUAUAAUAUGGCCUAAUUUUAAAGGUCCAAAAUAACUUGUUUUUAAAGUUUGCCCUUGUGCUAAAGUGCCAGUGUAUGUAUGUUAUACUUGAUUUGGUUGUAAACUAUAUUUCAAAGUAAACCCUAGUGUAAUAAGUUUUAUAACUAAAAAGGUUUAAGCUGCUAAAACUAUUUUUAAGAGAUGUGAAAUGCAGUAUGGGACUAUCUUUUUUUCCUCCUCUAAGCCCAAAGAUUAACUAGAGUCCCUCCAACCUUAUAGAUUUUUGGCUUUCACAAUCUUAUAACCUAGGAUACAGGUAGUUUCGAGUAUGGUGCCAGUGAUGUUUUGUUUUUGUUUGGUCAAGGGGUAGGUGCAACCCAAUGGACCACUUAUGCAAAAGAUGUAAACUCUUGCAUAAUACAUCGAUAACAUGUUUUGCCAACUUUAAAUGCUUAAACAUAAGCGAAACCAGUAGCAAGUA
rnacentral:lncRNA from 1 species